UACGGGGGGGGCAAGCGUUGUUCGGAAUUACUGGGCGUAAAGGGCUCGUAGGCGGCCAACUAAGUCCGACGUGAAAUCCCCAGGCUUAACCUGGGAACUGCGUCGGAUACUGGAUGGCUUGAAUCCGGGAGAGGGAUGCGGAAUUCCAGGUGUAGCGGUGAAAUGCGUAGAUAUUCGGAGGAACACCAAUGGCGAAAGCAGUCUGCUGGACUAACAUUGACACUGAGGCACGAAAGCGUGGGGAGCAAACAGG
rnacentral:rRNA from 1 species